GUGUGCAUAUAUUGUGUCAUUAGUCUAAAGCUUUUUAGGAAACUGAUAACUUAAAUUGUGUAUCAUAUCGAAAGCAUAUAUUUCUAAAAGAAAUGCACAUUUAUAAAAAAACUAGUAAGCCAAGUACAAAAUUAUUCAUUAAACUGACAUGUUGCUAUAAAAUAAAUAAUAAUUGUUUUAGAUUAUCUACUUUGUAUAUUAAACAAUGUUAGCAAAGUGCAUUACCGGUAACAAACAAUAAGAUGUCAUUGAUAAUAACGUGUGAUUUUCUGAAAUGACGCGUAUGUUCAUCAUGCGUCAAACCAUGGCCAUCAUCACGUGUACAAUAGUUAAGAGAGCUGGAGCGAAGACCAUUGGCGUCACCGGUCCCCAAGUUGGCAGCCCUUAGAAUGUUAAGCAAUCUAUAGUCGGGUUACCAAGUCAGAAGCGCAAACAAUCGUCGUAAUCGCGGGAUGCUAAGUCAGAAGCGCAAACAAUCGUCGUCAUUGCGGGAUUCCAUGUCACCAGCAAAAAACAAUCGUCGUCUUCGCGGGAUUCCAAGUCAUAAGCGCAAAAAAUCGUCGUGAUCGCGGGAUUCCAAGUCAGAAGCGCAAACAAUCGUCGCCAUCGCGGGAUUCCAAGUCAGAAUCACAAACAAUCGUCGUGAUCGCGGGAUUCCAAGUCAGAAACGCAAACAAUCGUCGUCAUCGCGGGAUUCCAAGUCAGAAGCGCAAACAAUCGUCGUCAUCGCGGGAUUCCAAGUCAGAAGCACAAACAAUCGUCGUGAUCGCGGGAUUCCAAGUCAGAAACGCAAACAAUCGUCGCCAUCGCGGGAUUCGAAGUCAGAAACGCAAACAAUCGUUGCAAUCGCGGGAAUCCAAGUCAGAAGCGCAAACAAUCUUCGUCAUCACGAGAUUCCUAGUCAGAAGCACAAACAAUUAUCGUCAUCGCGGGAUUUCAAGUCAGAAACGCAAACAAUCGUCGUCAUCGCGGGAUUCCAAAUCAGAAGCGCAAACAAUCAUCGUCAUCGCGGGAUUCCAAGUCAUGCGCAAACGAUUGUCGUCAUCGCAGGAUAGAUAGUCAGCAGCUCAAACAUUUGUCGUCAUCGCCGGAUACCAAGUCAGCAGCGCAAACAAUCGUCGUCAUCGCGGGAGUGCAAGUCAGAAACGCAAACACUCGUCGUCAUCGCGGGAUACCAAGUCAGAAGUUCAAACAAUCGUCUUCAUCGCGGGAUUCCAAGUCAGAAGCGCAAACAAUCGUCGUGAUCGCGGGAUUCCAAGUCAAGCGCAAUCGAUUGUCGUCAUCGCAGGAUAGAAAGUCAGCAGCUCAAACUUUCGUCGUCAACGCCAAAUUCCAAGUCAGCAGCGCAAACAAUCGUCGUCAUCGCGGGAUAGCAAGUCAGCAGCACAAACAAUCGUCGUCAUCACGAGAUUCCAAAUAAGAAGCACAAACAAUCGUGGUCAUCGCGGGAUUCGAAGUCAGAAGCGCAAACAAUCGUCGUCAUCGCGGGAUACGAAGUCAGCAGCUCGAACCAAAGUUGGCAUCAAGGAUUAAAAAGUGAAUAGCGAAAACAAUAGUCACCAUUGCGGGUAUCUGCAAACCAAAAUGGUCAUCACGGUUUACCAAUUCAAAAACCAAAAGUCGUCAUCGCCAGUUACCAAGUCAGCUGCGCAAGCCAGGAUCGACAUCACGGGUCCGCGGUUCACCAAAUUAGCGUCACAAAAUAUGGUCGUCAUCGCGGCAUACUAAGUUAGGAGCGCAGACAAUUGGUGUCAUCGCGGUUUACCAAGUCAGCAGCGCAAACCAUGGUCAUCAUUGCGGGUUGCCAAGUUAGUAGCAAAAGCCUCAGUCAUGAUUGUGAGGUAACCAAAUCACCGGCGCUCGACUGCUCAACAAGAUGUCCGUCAUUGAGCCCACUGUAUUUUUUAAUGAAAAUAACUGGAACGACAACUGUGCAGCUAGAUUGUGCUCCACCCAGGUUUCAUGAGUGCAAUGCAUUAGAAGUGUUCAGGGACCGUAUUUGGGGACUUGAUACUGCACCAAGGAUAACGCCCACCGCACGUUUUCCUACACUUCUCAUUAGGCUCUAGCGUGUUUGGUUACACGGUAUCCCAGCGAUGAAUCUGCUGUCCAUGAUAUUUAACGUUUUAAGGAACAGGUAAUCCAUGCCUUGAUGGUUUUUCUCUUGUUUCCGAUGACUGGAUUCAGUGACAAUGCUUACUCUACAUGUAGUGUAACUUUAAAUUGACUGUUAUGUUAUUUUGUUUUCUGAUUGACGCUUAUAGUAUUGUCAUCAAAUUUUAUGUUUUAUUAUGUAACUUUGCAACACUGCACAUAACCUUUAACAAAAAUGUGUUCACAAGUUUUAACUUAAGCCAUGUAUAUAGCUGUGCAUAAGAGGUUUUAUUUUGACGUCUCUAUUGAAGGAUUGUUUUACAUGCAUUCCGUUGUAUCGUGUUUGCAAUUUUAAAUGGUUUCUAACACAUGUGUUUUUUGGAACUCCCAAUAUGAUUCAUAUCUGUAAAUGCCAAUGUGUAUUUAGAAGUUUUUUCCACGUUGAUGUUCAUUCAAAAUAACAAUACAAAUAAAGUGUACAGAGGGUGUAUAAAUGUAUAUAGGAUGUAAAGACCUUAUUCAAAUGAAGUUUGUAUCGCGAAUAUAUGUUGUAUUAUAUGUAUACAACUUACUGAAAUAAAAAUGUUCUUAUGUUUCAACUUGAAGAGAUGCCUUAACCCUUUGCAUGCUGGGAAAUUUGUCAUCUGCUAAAAUGUCGUCUGCUCAAUAUCUUAAAUCAUCAUUUUCUUCCCUUUAUUCAAAGAAUACUAUCAGAAUAGCAAACAGUUUGGAUCCUGAUGAGACGCCACGUUCUGUGGCGUCUCAUCUGGAUCCAAACUGUUUGCAAAGGCCUUCAAAAUUCGGUUCCAGCGCUCAAAGGGUUAACACAAUAUGUAUAAUUAUGCACGUACGCAGCUAAAUUUUCACGUGCAUGUAAUCUGUAUUGUUUGUAUCCAACUCAAUGCAUUAGUGAGUGUGUUUCACAUGUAUCUUUAUAUUUUAAAUUAUGACAUUUGUGAAGGAAAAAGUAUAAUCGUUUUUCGCGUUGACGGUAUGGUUAUGGUCAAAUGUUACCAAUCACAUGACGGAUUGAUGUAAAUUACACGAACGUCGUCAUUCCGAAUGAUCAUGUUAAACCUUGUAAAUAUGAUGAAUAACAUGCUCAUAUAAUGUAAAUUCCUUCAAACUUAAAAAAUGUUGUACAUACAUAUGCAUAACCUUUAUGCAAUCAUAUUCAUUAUAUUUUAAGUAAAACGCAACUGUUGUCUAAAGAUCGAUUAAUGCGAACACAAGGAUCAAUUCAAGUUUGUCAAAACGUUUAUGAAUAUUGUAAAAUAUAACUUAUUCCGAUUAAUACCACUAUGGGUCAUAUCAAGUGUGUAGAACGGUUCUGAAUACUGUAAACUUGCACUUACUCAGAUUAAUGCCACUAUGGGUCAAUUCAAGUGUGUAGAAACUAUUCUGAAUAGUGUUUAGUUGCACUUUCUCCGAAUAAUACCACUAUGGAUCAAUUCAAGUGUGUAGAAACGGUUCUGAAUACUGCAAACUUGCACUCACUUCAAAUAGUGCCAAAUAUAAAAUGUGUGUAAGUACUUGAAAUGCCCAAACCAAUAUACCAAACCAAUAUAUAACUGUUACAAUACUGUACUGAUAGUGAAUAAAUUGGUAACGCGUUAUGAGGUAAAUGAUGCAUCGUGUUCAAUACAAGUAUUUUAAGGUUCAUGUCCAUUUAGGGCGAUUUUUAUAGGAUACGUAGCUAAGUUUUAUAAGAUACGUAGUUAAGUUUCAUUGAUAAGCGCGGGGGGACAAAAUAGGUUAUCCUGCAUUUGCUUUUAAAUAUAGAAUUGACAUAAUAUAUAAUCAUGUAUCGAAACGAAAUACAUUUGCUAUCAGAGUUUGUUGUCGAAUAACCCACGGUCAGUAGUCUAGAUGCAUUUUGUAAAACAAAUCGGUCUUUGCAUUUAUGAUUUAAUUCAUAUUCAUAUAGUUUGUCUUAUUUAUCGGAACGUUAGGUAGAUGUAAUUAGACACGUACAUGUAUGUUAUCAUUUUAAAUAUUAAAAAAAAAUGCAGCAGCAUUUCGCACACUUUUGUGAAAAUACAAAUGUGAUAAAUAACUAAAUUCACCUACUUACGUUUGUUUAAAUUAUAACUAACAUUUUUUAAACCACAUCAAAGCGUAUAUUGAACGAAUGUGAGUGCGUUGCUAACAUUGUCUAAGUACUAUUAUUAACUUAGACAAGAAGCUCGAGAAAAGAGUUGUCACACAAGUUAAUAUGCAUUUAGCAAUACAUUAUUUCUUUGCCUUAGAUAUGUGUAGUUUGUUAUUUGGGUUAUUUAUUGUUUUUAUUUGGGUUAUGAAUUGUUUUUUAUUAUUAUUAAACGUUUGACACGUUAAAUGAAUUCUAAAGGAUGUUUAUGUUUAACCCAUGAAUAUUACAAACAUAUAUUCGUUGUACGCGAUAUGUUUGAAUAUUACGUUAUAUUAUUAGUAUACAGUUGAUCUAAAUUAAUUUUAGUUGUCUUUUUUGUUAUGUAUUAUGUUUAUUUUUGCAUUUAUAUGUUUAUCGUUAGACUGCAUUAAACAAAACCACAUUUUUCGCUUAUAUACAUGAAAUCGUCCUUCUACACAUGCCAUCUUUAUUAUUAAUUUUUGAAAUAUUUCUAAAACAAUCGAAAUGAUGGCAGUAUACUUGGAAGUACUCGGAUCGUCUUUAAGUUGAAUGUAAAAGGAAACAAGUAGUGUAACACUGCAAUAUGCCUUCGGAUUAAUAUAACAUUAUUAAAGGGUUAUUUAAUAUCUGUGUAAAUGCAUCAUCACAAGCGUCUAAACAUAUAGAGAAAGUGGUUGAACUGGUUUAAUUUUAAGUGUCUGACGUUGUCCAAACGUAUUUUAAUAACAGUAUUUCUAAAACGUGAAGUCUAUCCAUUUUUGUUAACUAUUAUAUACGGUAGGUGCAUAUUGCAAUAAUAUAUUUAUUAUAGAGACAUGCUAUGUAUUGCUCAGAUGUGUUCAAUUAUUUUAUACCAUCGCAUGUAUCAAAACCAGUCUUGACUAUCAUUAGUUAUAUACAAUAUUUUCAUUUUAAUGCAGUUUCUUUAAUAAAUGUGCGCAAGCAUUUUUAUACUUAAAUAA